rnacentral:rRNA from 1 species
AGCAGCCGCGGUAAUUCCAGCUCCAAUAGCGUAUAUUAAAGUUGCUGCAGUUAAAAAGCUCGUAGUUGAAUUUCGGGAUCAAUAUGUUGGUCGUGCCUCGGUACGUACUAGCUUAUUGGUUUCUCCCUUCUGACGAACCAUGAUGUCAUUUAUUUGGUGUUAUGGGAAAUCAGGACUGUUACUUUGAAAAAUUAGAGUGUUUAAAGCAGGCUCACGCUUGAAUACAUUAGCAUGGAAUAAUGAAAUAGGACGUUUGAUUCUAUUUUGUUGGUUUCUAGGAUCGACGUAAUGAUUAAUAGGGAUAGUUGGGGGCAUUAGUAUUCAAUUGUCAGAGGUGAAAUUCUUGGAUUUAUUGAAGACUAACUACUGCGAAAGCAUUUGCCAAGGAUGUUUUCAUUAAUCAAGAACGAAAGUUAGGGGAUCGAAGACGAUCAGAUACCGUCGUAGUCUUAACCAUAAACUAUGCCGACUAGGGAUCGGAUGAUGUUAAUUUUUAAUGUACUCAUUCGGCGCCUUAAC